AGCAUCAUUACCUGUAAUAAAUUUUACUGAUUUUUCUUUUAACUAAUUCCUCUCAUUUUCACAUUUCUUGUGCUUUUUUGUUAGGUAUUAGUGCUAAAAUACUCUAUAGACUUUAAGUAGGUGAACAUUUCAAACAGCUUCAUAAAAUUCAUAUAUAUCUAUAUUUUAAUUUGUAAUGUUUUAUGAAAGAGCAUGAUACACAUUCAUUUUAAACCCUUAAAAAAAUUCUGUUUCAGCCACCAUUAAACAAUAAGGCCAGAUCUCUUGGUUAGUGUGUAUGUCUUUGUGUGUAUGUUUCUUUUUUAUUUUUGGUAGCUAAUUUGUAGAAGUUCAGUUCUGUGGUAAGGCAAGAUGAUCUCUAUGCUUUUUAAGAGAAAAUCAUGAACUUAAUAGAAAUGCAAUAUUGAGUUAAAAAUCUUCUUAAAUAUUAUAUUAUCCAUUUUUCCUAAAGGAAGAAUUUAUUAUUUUAACUUUAAUAUAAGCAUGCAAUUUCAGAGCUGAUAGGAAUAUAAGAAGUAACUACCCUGAACUUCUUUGUCUGUGGAUAAGAAAAUAUGCUCAUAAGAGUCCGUGACAGACCAGGAAAAGAAUGUAGUUAUCUAAUUGCUAAACCAGGACUCUCCUUCAAAACUACGCAGCCAUGUCUGUUCCAGGUUCUGUGCAGACUAUAAACUUGUUCUCAUAAGCCAAAAUGUGCUGACCGAAUUCUCCAAGCACAUUAUCUGUGAUCUACCUUCCAAUAAUGCACAUACUUCUUUUUCAUAAUAAAAGUACUUUCAUUUACCUAUUAAAGUGAAGAUCAGGCAAAUUACCCAAAGUUGUAAAGCUAAUCUGAUACUUACGCGUUAAAUCACAAAAGAUAUUUUAUAAUUCUAAAAUAUUAGUUUUAUUUUCAAAUUCAAUUUAAAUGUAUGGACAAUUUCCCCUUCUCCUGGGGCUACAUAGCCAUAGUAAGAACUGUAAUCGCUUUCUCAUAAGUGAACAUUCACUAUGGACACUGUGAUGCAUAGCUUUGUGCACACUCUUCUGGUUUCCUUGUCCAGGUUUAUUUUUCAUGAUUGCCAGAGAGGGAAAGAAAAUAUAUUUUGUACUUUAAGGAGUUAAUGAAGUGCAGCUAAGAGAAGACAAAAAUAAAAGUUUAUACAGUACAGGAAGACUAAAUGAAUUUGUGGGCUUUAAGAGCAUUUUUAUAAAGGGCUUCAGGAUAUUUAAAUAUAUUUUAAUGUAUUUGAUUGCAUUUUGACUUUUGAGCCUCACCAUCAGCUAAAUCCCUUGUCAGCCUAUGACUCCAAUCCUGCAAUUGUUUCCCAAAAACUGAAGGAGUUCUAGACAAAUCAGUGUUAUUAUUCUGAAUCACCCUUUUUAAAAACAAUCCUUUGUUUUUUGUGCAUAUGAUAUUGUUAUGGGUUGAAUUGUGUCUCCCCAAAAAUAUAUGUUGAAGUCAUUAGCCCCAGAGCCUAAGAAUGUGACUUUAUUUGGAAAUAAGGUUUUUACAGAGACAAUCCAAGUUUAAGUCAUGAGGCUAGUCCCUAAUCCAAUAGGACUGAUGUCCUUAUAAAAAGAGAAAUUUGGGUCCAGAGAAGGAUAUGCACAGAGGGAAUGCAUAUCCUGUGAAAAGACAGAGACACAGGGAGAGCAUCAUUUGAAGAUGAAGGCAGGAAUUGGAGAACUUCAUCUACAAGGCCCCAAAGCUUGCCCGCAAACCUCCAGAGGCCAGGAGAGAGGCAUGGAACAGAUUCUUCGUCACAGCCCUCAGAAAAAAACUCAUCCUGUGGAAACCUUGACUUUGGACUUCCAGCCUCAAUAAGGGUCACUAAUCUACUCUUAUCUCAACUGUGACUUUGAAUAUGGUGAUGAAGAUAUGAACAGGGAUAUGCUACUAAAUCCAGAUUAAUGGGAGUGAACCAGAUGCUUUCGCAGAGGCAUUGAGGAAGAGAACAGGCUCUUCUACUGAGUUGCUAAGGAAAGAACAACUAAGAGGUGGAGUCUCUAGAUUUGCCCAUCUGCAUCUGUCUGAUCCACUCCACAGGAAGGCAAGAAAACAGGGGUCCCAGGAAUCUUCUGCCCUUCUGCCCAUGACUCUGCCUGCACCAGACGACACUUACUGGUGUUCACUCAAGCACAGUAAUCCAUUGGAAACAAGAAGCUUGCACAGUGAAUUUAAUAGUCUUCUGAGACUUUGGGUCCUGGAGUUUUCAGCAUCAACAAUACUAGGCACAGGUGUUUACGAAUAAACAAAAAUAUGUGCUUAUACAUUC
ensembl:lncRNA novel transcript, antisense to TRDN